rnacentral:rRNA from 1 species
AGUGAACGCUGGCGGUAGGCCUAACACAUGCAAGUCGAACGGCAGCACAGGAGAGCUUGCUCUCUAGGUGGCGAGUGGCGGACGGGUGAGGAAUACAUCGGAAUCUGCCCAGUCGUGGGGGAUAACGUAGGGAAACUUACGCUAAUACCGCAUACGACCUUCGGGUGAAAGAGGGGGAUCGCAAGACCUCUCGCGAUUGGAUGAGCCGAUGUCGGAUUAGCUAGUUAGCGGGGUAAUGGCCCACCAAGGCGACGAUCCGUAGCUGGUCUGAGAGGAUGAUCAGCCACACUGGAACUGAGACACGGUCCAGACUCCUACGGGAGGCAGCAGUGGGGAAUAUUGGACAAUGGGCGCAAGCCUGAUCCAGCCAUACCGCGUGGGUGAAGAGGGCCUUCGGGUUGUAAAGCCCUUUUGUUGGGAAAGAAAUCUUUCAGGCUAAUACCCUGGGAGGAUGACGGUACCCAAAGAAUAAGCACCGGCUAACUUCGUG